AUAGCGUAUACCAAUUUUGCUGUUGUUAAAAAGCUCGUAGUUGGAUCUCGGUUUCGGGCGGGUGGUGCGCCUUGCGGCGUUUACUGUCUGCUCGGACGAUUUUGUUGGUUCGUUCAUGGUGCUCUUAACCGGGUGCCUUGAGUGGCCAGCACGUUUACUUUGAAAAAAUUGGAGUGCUCAAAGCAGGCGCUACAGCCUGAACAUUUGUGCAUGGAAUAAUGAAAUAGGAUCUCGGUUCUAUUUCGUUGGCUUUCGGAACUUGAGGUAAUGAUUAAGAGGGACAGACGGGGGCAUUCGUAUUACGGUGUUAGAGGUGAAAUUCUUGGAUCGCCGUAAGACGAACUACUG
rnacentral:rRNA from 1 species